GGCCUCGUAACUCAGCUGGUAGAGCAUGCGCGUACAAAGCGUAGGCGGUGUCCAUGCGUGGGUUCGAAUCCCACCGAGGCUA
rfam:Echinostoma caproni strain Egypt genome assembly, scaffold: ECPE_scaffold0005268